rnacentral:lncRNA from 1 species
UUAUCAGAAUCCACAUGGGGACUCCAGGUUGCAAACCAAACGUCAUAUCACUACUAGAAAAAGUAGCUCCAGUACUGGUUGGGAACCCCCUCUAAGUACCAGUUGCACAACCAGUACUAGCCAAUUAAUAAUAGAGGGGUCCUCUAGUACCAGUUGGAAUAACCGGUACUAGAUGGUAUUAAAAAAUUAAAAAAAAGCAAAUCCCCCCCACCCCCCGCCGCCCC